rnacentral:tRNA from 1 species
UGUAUGUUGGUGUAUGAUGCACUUGGAGUUUUGAUCUUCGAAGGUAUAGUUUAAUUCUAUAACUUACAA